UGCACCACAAUUUUUUCUUUGGUAUUCAGAAUCAAAACUGUGUGCCAGAAGUGCACCACAACUUUUUCUUUGGUAUUCAGAAUCGUGUGCCAGAAGUUCACAACUUUUUUCUUAAAAUUUUAGAACUGAAACAGCAAGGGCACCAAAGUUCACGACUUUUCUUGAAUAUUUAGAAUAAAAGAGCCAUUUCAAUAUAUCCAUCACAACAUUUUCUAUAAUAGAACAUAUAUGCAACAUUUCUUGCGUACCCCUUCCAUCUUCUUGUCUUAAUGGGAAUUAGCGGUCAUUUUGUCACCAAAUAUUGAAUUCAAUGAAAGUUGCCCUAUAAUAGUUAUUAUAUAUUAAAGUAAUAAUUACACUUGUAUUUAAUUAUUUCAAACACCUUUUAACCUUUUGAAAAUGAAUAUGUGAUUUUGGUGAUUGAAUAUUAUUGUCUUGCAAGACAGUAUAAUUAUUCUCUAGUUACCUUUGCAUGCUGUCAGCAAAAUGUAAAUGAUGUUUUUGUUUUUAUUUGAGAAAUGAUUUGAUUUGGGUGCAGUGAAUACAUCUUUCGUAUAUAUUUCUUUACAUUAAAAGCGGUUAUCUAACGUAGUUUUAUUAGGGUUAAUUCUCUUGUUUUUGUACAUAAUAAAAAAUAAAUAUUCUUAUUAGUCAUCAAUAUGUAUUUCAAUAUCAUCGAGAGAUUUUUAGAAGAAAAAAAGAAAAUGGUUGUCAUCACUUUCACAGCUAAUGCCCCUUUAAAAUAAGAUGUAAGUGCACAGGUAUCUGAAUUUUAAUCUAAUUAGAAAAAAAAGUGAAGAAAAAAUAUCUAUAUCUAAAUAAAUGGAGAGAGAGAGAGAGAGAGAGAGAGAGAGAGAGAGAGAGAGAUUUCUUUUCUUUUCUUUAUUUACAUGUAUAUCUGAACAUUGAUUACAAUUCAGAUACUGGGUUUGUGAGUUGAAAUUAAUCAAAUGAGAGUGGUAAAAAUUCACCUUUAUAUCGUAUAAUUUAUCCAGGUACGUUAUUCUGGUUUGUGGAAUGCUAAUUGAUACUAAGUUAGAAUAAUCUAAGCUGUAUACCAAAGUAGGUCUUCAUGGGGCUUUACGGCUCUAUGCAUCGCAAAUAGAGAUCGGGUUCAAUGCGUCGGGUGUGGGAUUCACUCAAUAUUAUAUGCUGAGCGGGAAAGUUGAUAUCAACAGACGCCAUGAUGUUAUACCGGUAAACAUCUUGAACAUGAAUCGAGAACAGGAGUUGAUGCAGAUAUUCUGAGGAGAAUCUUCCAAUCAUUGAGUAAGUGAUUUACUGUGUAUCUUAUAGUUAUAAACUCUCUAAUAUAUUGUUCAAAACGAAACUGACCAUCGCUCAUUGUAUGUUGUUGCGUCAAAUCUUAAGUCAGUGUUUACGUUUAUAAAUUUACAUUCUUCAUUCAAUUCUUUGAAAUUAUGUGGAAUUUAUUUUUUUUAAAAUUUCCUUUGUAUGAGAAUAGAUUAGACUCCUUCUAGUUGCAUUAUCGUAGCCAUCGCGGAUUUUUUUUUCUUUUACAUUUGGACAGGACCAUAUAGGCACUUAAAAAAAAAAUGGAGAGAGAGGGGAAAAGGCCGAAAAACAAACAAAUAAUUAGGCCUAUUUCCGUAAUAAUUAUGCUAUUUUUUGUUUACUUUCUACUCGGGUUAUAUUUGCAAAACUGAAUAGUUUAUUCAGUAAAUGGUGUUUUUUAAUGAAUGGUUGAUUAUUUUUUUUAUUCAAAUGCUUAUGAUUUGAACCCAGAUGUCCAGUUAGAAAAGUUAAACUGCAUUAUGAUCAAGGAUGUGACCUCCAGAAUCUCAAUUUUGUCACUCCAUCAAUGCAUAUUCGUUAUUAAAAUGGAUUGAAGAUCUUGUCUUGGCAAUAAAGUUAAUUUGUACGUAAAGUCUGGUCAGCAUGAUAUUAACAGUUGUACAUCAAAUUAGAGGUGCGCGGUAUUACCGGUGUACCGGUAUUUUUCUGGUACCGGUAUGUACCGCGGUACACGAGGCGAAAUACCGGUAUAUUCAAGUCUGAUAACUCUUAACAAAAAUAGAAAAUUGAAACAAGAAAAAAUAAUUAAAGAAAUUUGUGUACGCAGUGACUCACUUUAUUUACAUCGUUCCCUCGUUGUGAUGCAAUGAAAGGUAAGUCUAAUAACUGUACACAAUCGGUAAAACAUACGAAGUAUAAAUUGCGAUGAUUUGAUUAUUAAUGAUAUGAAAACAAAUCAAAAUUAAAGAAAAAAAUAAUAGAAAACAUUUCAUUAAGUUAUUAUUUUAAUAUAUAAGGUAGAUUAUAAAAAUUGUUUUUAUGUUGUUUGGUUUAUGCUGGUCGAAUACCAUUUCCGCCUCUUAGGCAAACCCCAAGUAAAAAAUAAAAUAAAAUGGCAGAUGCAGACUUGUGCGUUCGAAACCACCGUUCGUCCGUUCGUCGCGCGAGUACAAAUUCCUGCCGAUUCUGAACGCCGAGUUAAUGGGUUUGAGGUGCAAGAAUGUAGGAAUUGUGGUCGAAGAACAAGAACACGUUCGUGCGCACAUGUUCUCGUUAUUCUCUUUAGAGAAGUGGACAGGCGUAUUCUACAUGUAGAAGUUCUCGUCAUUCGCGACUCUUAAGAACUUCUAGACUUUGAGAUCGUGUCAAAUAAAAUCCACAGGUUUCCCCCUAUUAAUUAUUUUAAUAGUCGUUCCAGUCAGUAGUCUAGUCACAGUCGAUUCUAGUCAUGAUACAGAAACACUGCUAUAUUGUAUGUACGGUAUACUUUUAUGUUUGGAUUAAACUUUUGUUCUGUUAACUGGUUUAAGAUUUAAAUAAGAUAUUUUCCUUAUCAUUUAUAUUUGAAUAAAUUAAAUGCAAUUUACAAUCAAUAAACUAAAAACAGCUCAUUAUAUACAAUAAAUCACAACUAAAAUCCACUAAAACUGAAUCAUACAAUUAAAAGAUUAAAUCUGCGGUAUACCGUGGUAUGUACUGCGGUAUUUUGCAAAUACCACGGUACACCGCGGUACCUUUAUUUUCUGCGGUACCCAACUCUACAUCAAAUAUUGCAUUUAUUAGCCCAAUGGGCUAUAACGCAACAUUGAUUAUUUCUCGGCUUUGAAAAUCGGUGGCCCCAGGUGUCGGGCGACGGUAAUUACAUGUACACCCCCCUGAAUGAUUCCUCCUAUGUUAGACGCCUUGCAAACUUGUAUAUAUGACGGCCAAUGGUAUCUCGUAAUUAUUUACAAUUUUAUAUCUUUUUCAGAAUAUAUUUCAUGAUAGUCGUGAAGAUACAGAAGUUGUGAUGGUGUGUUGAUAGGCUGUCUUCAACUUGCCAUAUCUGAGAGUUCCAACAUGCAGGCCUGGAUUAAUGUUUUAUCACAACAAAUGGAUGGGACAGUAGAGUUGUUGCGGACAAUAUGUGACCAAGUACUGAACAAGUGGAAGAUUAGAAGAAGGUCCAGAAUUCAAUCAUGUUUUUGAUUCUAAGGCGCAGACAGCAUGGAGAUAGUCCUAUUAUUCUCCCAUUCAUCUAUGAUGGAGAAACUUGUGUAAAUGUUUACAGUGUUCUCCCUAAUAAGUCCCCACAAGUCUGUAUUAAUUUAUCAGAAUAUAAAGUCCUUCACAGUACUGACUUUAAAAUUCAUGUAGAUUGUCUCCAGAUUUUUCUGAGGAAAAGUGCAUAGUUUACAUGUGUGAAUUUUGAAUAUAUUUCAUUCUUGUCUGCAAAUGUUGCUGAAACCUGUUAUUGAUGCACAAUGCACAUAGUCAUGUUAUGCAAAUGAUAGACCUCCUUUUUAAUUUCAUGUCCUUAAGAUCAUGUCAACUCCUUUGUCUUAAUUGUAUAUACAAUUCUAGCAUGUAUAAAAUCAUUUGUAUAGCACUUGCUAGUUUAAUAAGGAUUUUAUUUUUUAAAAACUUUCAUUUGACAUGAUUGAUCUAAAACGUCCAAAAUUCACAAAUCUAUUUAAAUCACAACCUGACCUUAGGCCAGAAAAGUGCCACAGUGGGUUGAUAUUUUUCUCUUGGAUCUUGAAAGAAAUUCUUUAUGCAGCAGUUUCCAAAUAAAAUGUACUCUCAUGGCCAGGGUGGGACUUCACCGAGAACUUUUUAACAUUGCACAAUGCAAUAUUUGUGGAUUAGAAGCUGUUGCAGUUUCUUUAAAUUUUCUCUCACAUCUUGUUAUAAUUAUAUUUUAUAUUUUUGGUCGGGUUGCACAAUGUGCAAACAGUUUAUAAAAUGCUGAAUGACUGGUGGGCAAGCGACAAUAGCGUCCCUGUAAUAGUACCUACUUUGUGUAAUCAACUCCUUUCACACCUCUCACUUGAUGUUCCUCAAACUUUGUACAGUUGUUAGAGAUACAUUGAAGAUGUGCGUGUACCUUUUUGAAAGUGAUCAGACAUUUUUUGAAAAAUUUACAUGUAGUUAAACUUCGUCAUUUUUUAAGCAUUUCUUUAAUCGACAGUAUCUAUUUUGUGUAAUCAACUCCUCGUAUACCUCUAAUUUGACAUUCCUCAAAAUGUGUACAGUUGUUAUGAAUACAUUGAAGAUGUGCAUAUGUGUUUUUGAAAGUGAUCAGACAUUUUAAAAAAAAAAUGUACAUGUAGUUGAACUUAAGUCAUUUUAAAGCAUUUCUUGAAUAGAUGGUAACUAUUUUGUGUAAUCAAAUCCUCAUGCACCUCUAACUUGACAUUCCUUAAACUUUGUACAGUUGUUAUGAACACACUGAAGAUGUGCAUGCGUCUUUUUGAAAAUGAUUAGACUUUUUUUUUUUUUUUUAAAUUACGUGUAGUUGAACUUGUUAUUUUUUAUGCAUUUCUUGAAUAGAUGGUACCUAUUUUGUGUGAUCAACUCAUGCACAUCUAAAUUGAUAUUCCUCAAACUUUGUACAGUAGUUAUGGACACAUUGAAGAUGUGCAUGUGUCUUUUUGAUUUCAAGUGAUCAGACUUUUUUCAAAAAAAUUACAUUUAGUUGAACUUUGUCAUUUUUUUAAAGCAUUUCCUGAAUAGUUGGUACCUAUUUUUUGUAAUCAACUCCUCUUACAGCAUUUAUUUGACAUCCCAGACCUUGAACAGCUGUUAUGGAAGCAUUGUAAAUGUGCAUGUGUCUUUUCGGAAGUGAUCAGGCAUUCUUUGAAAAAUUUACAUGUUCAUGGUGAAGUUGAACUUAGUCAUUUUUUAAGCAUGGUACUUUAUGUAACCAACUCAGCUUUUACUUAACAUUUUCCAAACCCUGUACAUUAUAGAUGUUAUAAAAACAUUGAAGAUACACAUGUAACAUUUUAAAAAUGAUUCUCUUUUUUUUCUUCUUUUUUUGUUGAAAAAUUCUACCUUUAAUUUGUCAUUUUUCCAGUAUGUUUCUACUGUUGUUCCUAUGAUAGAUAACAUAUUUUACAAGAACCUGGCCAUUUCUGUUUUUGAAUCUCUUUUUUAAUUAGUAUUUUUGAAUAUGUUAAUUACUUGAUAUGUCAUUGUUCUUGAAAUUAUAUUAAUUGAAUUAU